rnacentral:rRNA from 1 species
UACGUAGGGUGCAAGCGUUAUCCGGAAUUAUUGGGCGUAAAGAGCUCGUAGGCGGUCUGUCACGUCGGCUGUGAAAUCCCGAGGCUCAACCUCGGGUCUGCAGUCGAUACGGGCAAACUAGAGUAUUGCAGGGGAGACUGGAAUUCCUGGUGUAGCGGUGAAAUGCGCAGAUAUCAGGAGGAACACCGGUGGCGAAGGCGGGUCUCUGGGCAAUAACUGACGCUGAGGAGCGAAAGCGUGGGGAGCGAACAGG